GAUGAACGCUGGCGGCGUGCCUAAUACAUGCAAGUCGAACGCACAGCGAAAGGUGCUUGCACCUUUCAAGUGAGUGGCGAACGGGUGAGUAACACGUGGAUAACCUACCUCAAGGUUGGGGAUAACAUUUGGAGACAGAUGCUAAUACCGAAUAAAACUUAGUAUCGCAUGAUACCAGGUUAAAAGGCGCUACGGCGUCACCUAGAGAUGGAUCCGCGGUGCAUUAGUUAGUUGGUGGGUAAAGGCUUACCAAGACAAUGAUGCAUAGCCGAGUUGAGAGACUGAUCGGCCACAUUGGGACUGAGACACGGCCCAAACUCCUACGGGAGGCUGCAGUAGGGAAUCUUCCACAAUGGGCGAAAGCCUGAUGGAGCAACGCCGCGUGUGUGAUGAA
rnacentral:rRNA from 1 species